rnacentral:sRNA from 1 species
AGCUGUUCCCCUCUGGAGGUUUUAACCUUCACAAUUUAAAGGGCCCUGGUUUUCCAGUGGCCCUCUUUUUUUGGCUUU